AUGGUGUCGAGCGGGCGAGGGGUGAUGGUGCCGGUGGUCGCGGUUGGGCUGCUCCUCAAGGCGGCGUUGCGACCCGUGGUGGUGGUCGUGGUGGUGGUCGUCGUAGUCGUCGGUGUCGUGGUGGUAGUUGUCGUCGUCGUCGUCGUGGUGGUGGUGGUGGUAGUUGUCGUCGUAGUCGUCGGGGGCACCCUCCUGGGACUCCUCGCGUCCGCGUCUAAGCGGGGACGAGUGGUCCUCGGGCUCCUGCUGUCCGCGUCUAUGCGGGGACGAGUGGUCCUCGGUCUCCUUCUGUCCGCGUCUAUGGGGGGACGAGUGGUCCUCGGUCUCCUUCUGUCCGCGUCUAUGCGGGGACGAGUGGUCCUCGGACUCCUGCUGUCCGCGUCUAUGUGCAGGGGGGUGGUCGUGGCAGAGAGCGGCGGCGGGUCGGGCACGUUCUUCGUCGCCACGCGGAAUGUACUGGCCCAGCUGUAGCUCUCGUGGAGGUCGAGACCGGGCGACGGAAGUGCGGUAGUCUCCGUCGUCGGGGUACGGUCGAUGCGGCGCCAACUGUCGAAACAUCUAUCCCGGGGACGCGUAGGACCGAUGUCGGUGCUCUCGAAGAGUUGUGUGUCGCUGUCGUUCCCGUCGUCCUUCUAAUUAUACCAAAGUGUCUGCAGUUGCGACAGACCGCUCGCACCGAGCGGCGCGAACGGUGCACGGUGGUAACAGCGCGUAGGCUCCGCGUGAGGCGUCUUCCUCGGACGGGGUUCCUCUGAAAGACACACCGUCUCCUAUCUCCUCCCGGGACGACGACGAUGUGCCGGCGGCGGUGGCGGUGGCGGUUUCCGGAACGUAUAAAGUGGUCGGUUCAGCUCGUGACGGCCGAGACGAAGUUUCCCUAACCGGUCGCACUAGAGACACCUGACGUUCCGUUUUUCACGACCAUCAUUACUCCAACUGUCGUGAUUUCAUUAUGUCUUCCUACGACCUUUCUUACAAUCCUUCCACAACAGGAGUCAAGAACACUUUGGAAGUGGCCUCAGGUUCCUUUUUCUUCCCAAACAACUCUUCGAAGGACCCUUCGUACUAUUACAAGUCCUCUUACACAGUCUAAGGGGAUCAUUUUCAGACCCGAAUCGACCAGCAGGACACCGACCACAGUUCUUUCACUUCUUCUAUCAAUAGUUCUUCUAACACUCCUCCUAACAACCGUUCCUAUUUGUUUAAUCAUCGCUUUAACAUAGACUCUUCUCCCUAUUAUAACUACGAUAACGUUUACGAAGACUUUUUCUUCUCCCACUUUAGUAUUGGAGUAGCGACCUUUUCCUAUGACAUAGACUUGUAUUAUACCAUUCGUGAUCACCAUGUCGACCUCGACCAUUACCACACUUACAGGUCUUCCCACUUUUAUCGUUGAGCUAUUUAGGUGCAUUUUCCUUUCGGUGAAGUCGGUAGCUCAGGUUCUUUUAAGAACUAAGUUGUUUAGCAUCACCCUCAUUCGUGGAACCUUUCCUUCUGUUAUCUUCGAGGUACCCAGCUCCACUAUAAUAACGACGAAGUCGGUAAUUUAGAUGUCUUCGUGAACGAUGUUCUGCUUCACUCGUAGGACCCUUUCCUCUAUCCUCGAGGUACCUAAGUCCAAAAUCCUCACGUUGAAACCACAGAUGCUUACUAUUAAUAGUCCUCCUCCCACUUUAGUACGGAGAAAGUCCACUUUGCUCACGACGUCAAUGUUCAUUAGGAGACUCUUAAAGAUUAUCCGUAUGUCUUAGAUCGUACUUUCUCUCGUCUCGAGGAUUCUUACAGUCAUUUUUUUUGUGACAAACGUGUUUACCUCAAUGACAUUUAGUACUAUGCCGUCUUUAAAGACCUUCACUCCUACGAUCCUCCCUUCUGUUACCGUAGAACUAAUUGUGUUCGCUUCUCCUACAAGCGGCACAUUCAUCAUGUGGUCUUCAAUGAUAUACGUUCUCUUUCCCACGAGUCUUUCCACUCCCAUACUAAGACUGACCAAAUCCACUUUUAUCAUAACCAUUACAAAGACACCGUGUGGUACACUUCUAAAGAUUAUGUUCCCUUGAGCUACACUUACUCCUAUGGUCCUGGUUUCUCUCGGUUUAGGGGUAUCUUAAUACAGUUUGAUUGUGAAGCUUUUGUUAUGUGGUGAACCUUCGAGGACUAUGUAGUCUUUGAUGGUACUCGUUCAAACAACCCUCCUUUCACCCGUUUUCGGAGUACCCCAGUUGACUUUCUGUACGAUGGUGGUGUACAUUAAGACCCUCGUGAGGUCUUAAAUUAAAUCGACCACCUAAGCCGUUAUCGGUGUUCCUUCUAGAAGAGUUACUGCCUUGACGAAAGUUACUUUGUCUACGAGGGGACCUUCAACUUCCAUCUCUAAAGAAAUUAGACAGUACAAGGUCUUUACAACUUUCGUACUUACACGGUGGUAAUCUACUACUAGAAUACCUCCUAAAUUGGGCCCUAUAACAAAACUUAUUACCAUAUCUUUCCCCACGAUGUCGAGUCCAUCGUCUUGACUAGUUAGAAGUGUCUCCAGUAGACAGAGGGCUCUAACUAAAAGGGAACCGUGUAAGGGCACUUAGAAGUAGAAGACCAUUGUCGCUCGUCAGACAAGGAUGUUGAAACUGUGAACCGUCAUUAAAGAUAAAGUCAUUAUUGUAGCUUUCACUCGCUGUCGAGUUCCUUUUGGUACUCGACGACCUUCCCGUCUUUCCUAAUCUACAAAGGUGUCACUGUCUUAAACUAUCAGAACAUUUUGUUUUUCCACACCGACUACUACUGAGUCAACCACAUCCAAGAGUUUUAACCGACUGAAAUGGCGGUCGCCAGUUGUCGUAACGAUACAGACUCGUCAAACACUGAUUGCUACGAUGACAAUCCUUUCUAUCCUAUCCAAACCUAGUCUCGCACCUAUUACUGUGAAGACAAUCAGUCCUAGUACUAUGACGUGUUCCAAACCUCGUCACACCUUCACACCUACGAAAGAGAUCAGUCCAAUUGUCGUAAUCCGAUAGACAUAGACCAUCACUAUACGGAGUCAGUCUGAGUAACUGUGGGUUUCUCUAGUCACCGCAACAACUCUUUGUACCACUCUAUCAAGAGAGCCCAAACGUGAGAUAAUCAAGUUAUUUACAACAUCUAGUUGUACUAUUAGUUUACCACCUAUAAAGACACCCGUUGGGUUGACUUGGACGAUAGGGUCGACAUCUUAGAUAACUACACUACCUACGUCUCGAUCAAAGAGGAGUCCAUAGACAACUCGGCCUAUUAUGGAUACUGUCAUUAUUUCCUUAGUCACCACUACAACUCUUUGUACCCCUCCAUCAAGAGAGACCAAACGUGAGAUAAUCAAGUUAUUUACAACAACUAGUUGUACUAGUAGUCUACCACCUAUUAGGACACCCAUUGGGUUAACUUGGACGGUAGGGUCGACACCUUAGAUGACUACACUACCUAUGUUGCGAAAGAGGAGUCCAUAGACAACUCGGUCUAUUAUUAUGGAUAUUGUCAUUAUGACUUCCAAGACACCAAUUGAGUUCGUGUUUCGCUCUAAACAACAGAAGAACCUAACUUAGGUAACGCAGUCUUCGAUUUUUCCUAGUAGUUGUUACGUUUAGAUGAAAUGGAAGAUAAUCAAACGGUCAGAAUCGUGGUUUCCUCCUAUCGUCCUCUCGUCCUAACCUGAGCCAACCUUUGGGACACCCCUUCAGAGGAGUCUAUUUAACAUGUUCGAGAUACGGAGGGUUCCAUCGAGGAUUUGUCCGCUUAAACGGGUCAAGUAGGGCUCUCGGAGGAGCACAUUCAAGUUUAGGUUCCGUGUUCUGUACCGUAGCACCACUGUACUGUAGAAGAUGUAGAAACGAGUCAAGUGUCGGAAGUCCUAAUGGCGGAUUUGUUGGUGGUUCCGUCUUACUGUUUUGAGUUUUGAGAAUAUAUGCGUUCCCAUUGCGGGAAUAAUCUUUAGGUCGUUGUCCUUUUGAAAGAGUAAGAAGAUCAGACCUAUGAGUCUUAUUCAACUUAUUCGGACACUACUCCUCUUCGUACUUGAAACAGUCCUUUCAACUAAGUUUACUAAGACGUCGUGCAAGCUCGAAAUGUCAACUUUCUGGAUUCUGAGGAGGAAAUGGUGAAGUACGGUUUAGGUAGUUAAGUUGGUGUUCGGAAGGUCUCGUCAACGGAUUUUGAAACGGGUUCGUCGUACAAGGACUUUGACUUUUUCUUCUAAGCCGAUCCGUUAAUUUGAGUCCACAACUAUGGGGUUCGUAAUUUUCACGUGUUUGUGGACUUGGGAGUCUACGAUCAUUUCACCAAAUACAAUCUGGCUUUAGUUUAGUUAACCAACGACGUGUCUCCGUCGUGGGACUACUGGGCUGAUUUUCAAGAUGUCUAUUCCAAAAUAGUGUCGUCGGUGGGUGUCGGAGACUAAAUAUAAAGUUCUUCGCCUUUUUAGUCUAAUAAAACUCAAGUAGAAGGAGACUACCAGUCUUAUGUUUUCUCUAACGUGGACGACUCUCGAAUUUAAGUCCACUCUCAUUACAUGUUUAACGUAGGAGCUUGUUGUCAUAGUUACCAAAUUUCCUCUCUGGUGUAUUUCGAGAAGCCUGUUUAUUAUACCCUUGAAGGAGCGUGCACACCUGUGAGUCACCCGUUGUUGGUGUCUCCUUUCCUAGACGCCCUUGAUCAAUACGCUUCCGGAAGGGUGCAUAAGAAGGUACCUUUUCUUUUUAUAUGACGUUCUUAAAAUCUUUGUCAGUGUGAGUCUUACACUCGAGGAAUGCUUAUCAGUCUUUUGAUAAUGUUUGGUUCUUCUCUCUAUACUAAAUAUGACAGAGUUGAUUACCUAAGAGAUAUGCCUUUAGACCGCACAAUUCACAACCACCUAGUUCAAACUUUACCAGUGCUAGAGAACUCUUCGCAAGAGUUUUCCAAUUGCUCCUCCGAUGUAACCGUCAACGACUGCAACCUUUUUUCUCUCCUCUUUUUGCCUUUGCCGUUAUAGAGGUAAUAUGACCUUCUUUACUAGUUAUGAGAAAUAGACAACGGCCGUUAGUCAAUUCUUUGUUGUUAGUUCGUAGAAGUCUAAACUCCUCCAGUAGUUGAACGUUACCUAUACACGCACAAUCGUUUCCAUUGGUUGACCAAUCUUUGGGGUUUUUUCAUUGAGCGUACGAUCGUUUACUCUUUCAAGCUACCUCAAACGUGUGACAAUCUAGUGCGGACCGUUUCUUUGCUGUCAUGACAGUUAAGAAGUGAGCCAAACCGCUCACGUUCUUCGGAUUCCCGCUCACAGCGAUAUAAGUACUGGGACGAUUUCACUGAUAAACGUGAUUUAAAGAAUUUCCGGACACAAGACUAUGAUCGACAUUUGAGUGAGUGUUCCAGGAGGGCCUUUCUUACGUUCUAACAAGAAUAAAAGACUUUCCAGAGACAUGGUUGUGUCGAACAGGGAUAUCCGUACACUUUCACUUGAGAUUCCGAGGACGGACACUUCUAAAAGAUUUCCCUAUGACACGUCUACCACUACUCACAGCAUUUUUCGUGUCGAUGUGUACGGGUCAGAAACUCCGUUGUCCUCUCACGGGUGUUGUUAGAUGCACGUUUGAAGUAGUGGGGUGGUUCUUCUGUUAGUUUGGAUUCUCUUCGUCUGGUCUGUGGGGGGUUUUGUCAUCGACCCCUGCCAUAAAACUGUGGUCGUAAUCUGUACUGUCGCUCUGUUCGUUUCAAAGAAGUCCGGUUCUACUGUCUGUCUUUGUCGUUGUACUAUAAAAGAGUCCACCCCUGAAGUGACUGAAAUAGUGUGAACUGUAACUACCACUUCUUCCGCAACUACGCGACCUGUCGUAUGUCUCACAACUACGCGGCCUGUCGUAUGUCUCACAACUACACGGUCUGUCGUAUGUCUCACAACUACGCGGCCUGCCGUAUGUCGACUACCUUGACCUGAGUCCCCUUGAACCGUGUCUCCGACUACUAGAACUACGUGAUUAGUUUGGAGAAGCCUAGUACUCUUGCCGUUCUCACACUGUCCGAUUGUCGACGACCUUGAACCUGACGCCCCUUCAAGUUGUAAAGUCGCACGCCCGGAAGUAUUAGAACUACGUGUUCGUUUCGGCGAAACCUAGUACUCCCAUUUCUCAAACUACCGACUACCCUGUCACGAUUCCCCUAAGUUCAAAACCCGUACGUCUAACCACGAGUUCGACUGAGCCUGGCCACUCUUCUUGUUCCCAAACUGUUCAAAAAGCCAAUAGAGCCUAUGGGCGACAACUAUAUCACGAAACGACGCGGUGUGGUUCGACGCCGCGACUGACCCAAAAGAGAAGCUGUAUGGGUAUAUAUCUAUCCCUUUUGUACGGACCAGUAGGAAAAAAGAAAGGAAAAAAUUGUAGAGCAAAGGUAAGUAGAACAUGAAUAUGUAUCCAAUGUAACAGAGUUUGUAUCUCACCCUCGUUGACCGACAUAAUGGACACACGACUUACAUUUUUGUCUAUAGUAUAGACACUUUCUUCGUUACGUUGAAAUAAAGAUCGGACGGAACACUC
rnacentral:rRNA from 1 species